CCCUGGCUUAAGCACACCAGAGCUCUACAAGGCCGCACAAAAUGCUCCUGCAAACACAGCAGAAGGUGGGAUGACAGCAGGUAGCUGUAGGGUGGGAGAGGUUGGACAGAUUCUUUCUUUCAAAAACAGAACUGAACACACCAGAACUGAAGCAUUCAUUAAAGUACAGGCACUACUAACUAUCAACAGCAUGAGCAACCUACCAAAAAUACCCAUCUUGAACUUACCUUGCUUGAAGACAGGUACGGCUGAAACUCUUGGGGGAUAGAAGUCUCUGGCAUAAACCUUGAUGUUUCCUGAGGGAAAACCUUGCAAUGAAACCUGGUGUUCAUGGAGUCUUAAGAGACACAAAAAGAAUCUAGACAAGAUGAGGGAUGCCUUCAUAAGAAGAGUAAAGUCAUGCACACUAACUUGCACUGGCACAAGUGCUUUUACAAAGAGUAAAUUGCUCACUGGAAAAAAAUACAGCUAUGACUUUGAAGGUUGUGUUAAAUUACUAAGUUCAGUUGAAAGCUGAUCACAGUCCUUGUAACCUGAUUCUCUACUGCCUUACUGUGUGUGCUCAGGAACUCCACUGAAGAAGAAGGCUUUUGCAAAAAAUAUCAAAAUAUUUAUGUUUCAAGGAGAAUAAGUGCAGGACAAUUUUAAAGGGAAAACAUUUAUUGAAAGGUAAUUCAGGAGAAAGUCAAAUAUAUGAACCCUGUUAUCUAGACCAAUUCUUUGAUUUUUUAACAUUUCUGCCUCUACAGUCAAGCACUGCAGUAGAAUUUUCUUAAUACAGGGAUAGUGUGUGGUGCAAGGACAGAGGAUGGAUUAUUAACCACUUGGUGCACAUUGCCUCUGAAGAUGAGAGAAGCAAAACAGCAUUAUUUGUUCAUUCAUUAG
rnacentral:lncRNA from 1 species